rnacentral:rRNA from 2 species
UGGCGGCGUGCCUAAUACAUGCAAGUCGAACGCACUCUCGUUUAGAUUGAAGGAGCUUGCUCCUGAUUGAUAAACAUUUGAGUGAGUGGCGGACGGGUGAGUAACACGUGGGUAACCUGCCCUAAAGUGGGGGAUAACAUUUGGAAACAGAUGCUAAUACCGCAUAAAACCUAACACCGCAUGGUGUAGGGUUGAAAGAUGGUUUCGGCUAUCACUUUAGGAUGGACCCGCGGUGCAUUAGUUAGUUGGUGAGGUAAAGGCUCACCAAGACCGUGAUGCAUAGCCGACCUGAGAGGGUAAUCGGCCACACUGGGACUGAGACACGGCCCAGACUCCUACGGGAGGCAGCAGUAGGGAAUCUUCCACAAUGGACGAAAGUCUGAUGGAGCAACGCCGCGUGAGUGAAGAAGGUUUUCGGAUCGUAAAACUCUGUUGUUGGAGAAGAAUGUAUCUGAUAGUAACUGAUCAGGUAGUGACGGUAUCCAACCAGAAAGCCACGGCUAACUACGUGCCAGCAGCCGCGGUAAUACGUAGGUGGCAAGCGUUGUCCGGAUUUAUUGGGCGUAAAGCGAGCGCAGGCGGUUUCUUAAGUCUGAUGUGAAAGCCUUCGGCUCAACCGAAGAAGUGCAUCGGAAACUGGGAAACUUGAGUGCAGAAGAGGACAGUGGAACUCCAUGUGUAGCGGUGAAAUGCGUAGAUAUAUGGAAGAACACCAGUGGCGAAGGCGGCUGUCUGGUCUGUAACUGACGCUGAGGCUCGAAAGCAUGGGUAGCAAACAGGAUUAGAUACCCUGGUAGUCCAUGCCGUAAACGAUGAGUGCUAGGUGUUGGAGGGUUUCCGCCCUUCAGUGCCGCAGCUAACGCAUUAAGCACUCCGCCUGGGGAGUACGACCGCAAGGUUGAAACUCAAAGGAAUUGACGGGGGCCCGCACAAGCGGUGGAGCAUGUGGUUUAAUUCGAAGCAACGCGAAGAACCUUACCAGGUCUUGACAUCCUUUGACCACUCUAGAGAUAGAGCUUUCCCUUCGGGGACAAAGUGACAGGUGGUGCAUGGUUGUCGUCAGCUCGUGUCGUGAGAUGUUGGGUUAAGUCCCGCAACGAGCGCAACCCUUAUUACUAGUUGCCAGCAUUUAGUUGGGCACUCUAGUGAGACUGCCGGUGACAAACCGGAGGAAGGUGGGGACGACGUCAAAUCAUCAUGCCCCUUAUGACCUGGGCUACACACGUGCUACAAUGGAUGGUACAACGAGUUGCGAGACCGCGAGGUUUAGCUAAUCUCUUAAAACCAUUCUCAGUUCGGGAUUGUAGGCUGCAACUCGCCUACAUGAAGCCGGAAUCGCUAGUAAUCGCGGAUCA